AUUGAACGCUGGCGGCAUGCUUUACACAUGCAAGUCGAACGGCAGCACGGGGGGGUAACCCUCUGGUGGCGAGUGGCGAACGGGUGAGUAAUGCAUCGGAACGCGUCCUGUAAUGGGGGAUAACCUGGCGAAAGUCAGGCUAAUACCGCAUACGUCCUGAGGGAGAAAGCGGGGGAUUGGCAACGACCUCGUGUUAUAGGAGCGGCCGAUGUCGGAUUAGCUAGUUGGUGGGGUAAAGGCCUACCAAGGCGACGAUCCGUAGCGGGUCUGAGAGGACGGCCCGCCACACUGGGACUGAGACACGGCCCAGACUCCUACGGGAGGCAGCAGUGGGGAAUUUUGGACAAUGGGGGCAACCCUGAUCCAGCCAUGCCGCGUGAGUGAAGAAGGCCUUCGGGUUGUAAAGCUCUUUCGGCCGGGAAGAAAUCGCUCAAGCUAAUACCUUGGGUGGAUGACGGUACCGGAAGAAGAAGCACCGGCUAACUACGUGCCAGCAGCCGCGGUAAUACGUAGGUCACAAGCGUUAUCCGGAUUUACUGGGCGUAAAGCGUGUGCAGGCUGUUAGGUAAGUGGUGUAUGAAAGCGCUCGGCUUAACCGGGCGAGGUUAUGCCAGACUGCCUAGCUAGAGGCAGCAAGAGGGACAUGGAAUUCCGGGUGUAGUGGUGAAAUGCGUAGAUAUCCGGAGGAACUCCAGAGGCGAAGGCGAUGUCCUGGUGCUGACCUGACGCUCAGACACGAAAGCAUGGGGAGUGAACGGGAUUAGAUACCCCGGUAGUCCUAGCCGUAAACGAUGGGCACUAAGUAGAGGGGUUUUGAUUAUUUCUCUGCCGGAGCUAACGCAUUAAGUGCCCCGCCUGGGGAGUACGGCCGCAAGGCUAAAACUCAAAAGAAUUGACGGGGGCUCGCACAAGCGGUGGAGCAUGUGGCUUAAUUCGAUGCAACGCGAAGAACCUUACCGGGGCUUGACAUGGUAGAAGUAGAAUCCUGAAAGGGUGACGAUCGGUAUCCAGUCCGAAGCUAUCACAGGUGUUGCAUGGCUGUCGUCAGCUCGUGUCGUGAGACGUUGGGUUAAGUCCCCUAACGAGCGAAACCCUUGUCUUUAGUUGCUAACGGGUAAUGCUGAGCACUUUAGAGAGACUGCCGUCGUUAAGACGGAGGAAGGUGGGGACGACGUCAAGUCAUCAUGGCCCUUAUGUCCCGGGCUGCACACGUGCUACAAUGGUCGGUACAAAGGGAUGCUAAGUCGCGAGAUGGUGCGAAACCUAUAAAGCCGAUCUCAGUUCAGAUUGGAGGCUGAAACUCGCCUCCAUGAAGUUGGAAUCGCUAGUAAUCGCGGAUCAGCUACGCCGCGGUGAAUAUGUUCCCGAGCCUUGUACACACCGCCCGUCAAGCCACCCAAGCAAGAUGCACCCAAAAUCGCCUGCCUAACCCGUAAGGGAGGGAAGUGCCUAAGGUGUGUUUUGUGAGGAGGACUA
rnacentral:rRNA from 1 species